rnacentral:rRNA from 1 species
GACGAACGCUGGCGGCGUGCUUAACACAUGCAAGUCGAACGGAAAGGCCCUGCUUUUGUGGGGUGCUCGAUUGGCGAACGGGUGAGUAACACGUGUGUAACCUGCCCUUGACUUUGGGAUAACUUCAGGAAACUGGGGCUCAUACCCGAUAGGAGCUCCUGCUGCAUGGUGGGCGUUGGAAAGUUUCGGCGGUUGGGGAUGGACUCGCGGCUUAUCAGCUUGUUGGUGGGGUAGUGGCUUACCAAGGCUUUGACGGGUAGCCGGCCUGAGAGGGUGACCGGCCACAUUGGGACUGAGAUACGGCCCAGACUCCUACGGGAGGCAGCAGUGGGGAAUAUUGCACAAUGGGCGGAAGCCUGAUGCAGCAACGCCGCGUGCGGGAUGACGGCCUUCGGGUUGUAAACCGCUUUCGCCUGUGACGAAGCGUGAGUGACGGUAAUGGGUAAAGAAGCACCGGCUAACUACGUG